rnacentral:miRNA from 1 species
AGUCAGCCUGUCCUUUGAAGCUUUGACACCAGGCAUUGCCUUCUCUCUAGCUGUGAAAGUCCUAGACACUAUCUUCUUUCAUUAUCAGCCUGCUUCAUCUACAUUG